rnacentral:tRNA from 27 species
GCCCGGAUGGCGAAAUUGGUAGACGCAAGAGACUUAAAAUCUCUCGGAGGUAACUCCGUGCCGGUUCAAGUCCGGCUCCGGGCACCA